rnacentral:lncRNA from 1 species
UGUUGGCAGUGCCAUAUCUGACCUGAAGCUGGGAACAUAUACUCUGUGCAGUAUCAGAAUACUGCACACUUUCAGCAAUUUGAGGGGAGAGGGAGGCAGUUAACUAGGAAAUCACCAUAUUAUUGCACCUGUCCCAUAACCUUUGUUGAGCCACAUUAGUGACUGGCCGGGAGCACGUGCCAUCAACAAAACCAAUUUUGUUUUUAGCAAAUAACGCAACAAUCAUUUUUCUCCUCCAAACCCCAUAACCACUGCCAGAGAAGGGAGUGGGCAGAAGAGAGACCCCAGGAACAUCAGAGGAGUAGACAAAAAGGGGGCUGGUAGAGUCCACUGAGGAAGUACUAGCAUUCGUAUUAGAAGUCAUGAUUAAUGAAUCAGUUUGAAAAGAAAACAGCCUCGGUAAGCAAAAUAUACAGGAGUUCACAUACAAGGCAUACAAUACUCAAAAUAAGGACAGAGUUACCCUCCUUCUUCGCGACCGGAAAAGAUCGGCCUUCAAUCAACAGAUAAAACCCUAGGUCCAACACCGGAAACCGUAGGUUCUGAAACUCACCAAAAUAAGGUCACAGACGUCGGAAAGUUACCCAAAACGUCUAUCAAGCGAAGACAAAGUCAUCGGAUAACAUCAAAUCUCUAGGUCCGAAAACCGGAAAAACCUAGAAUUUGAAGAACUCGUCGGAAUAAAGCCAGGGAUGCCGGAAAAUUACCCAAAACACCCACUGAUACAAGAUCGGAACCUUGAAUAACAGGAAAGUUCCGAUUAACCGCUCAACAUUCGUUGAAACAUCUCCAAACAAUAUCUCUCACCGUUAACCAUAAAAAAAAAUCAGCAAAAGCUUCGAACUGGAUCGAUAACACGUAACCGAGAAGGAUCCGAAGAUCAUCUGGCUCUGAUACUAUGAAAACGUGAAGAUUAUGCUGAAGAACAUGAAGAAUAUAGUGAGAGAAGAAGAGAGAGAAAAGAGGUAGGUGAAGGAACUCUCU